GACGAACGCUGGCGGCGUGCUUAACACAUGCAAGUCGAACGAAGUGGCGAACGGGUGAGUAACGCGUAAUUAACUUGCCCUUCAACGGGGGACAACAGUUGGAAACGACUGCAAAUACCGCAUACGGAAGGAGGGGAUUGCGUCUGAUUUGCUAGUUGGAGGGGUAACGGCCCACCGUGGCGCUGAUAAGUAGGCGGGCUGGGAGGAGGAACGGCCAAAUUGGGAAUGAGGCACUGCGCAGGAUCCUACGGGAGGCAGCAGUGGGGAAGCUUCCGCAAUGGAGGAAAGUCUGACGGCGCAACGCCGCGUGAGUGAUGACGGCCUUCGGGUUGGAAAGCUCUGUUAAUCGGGACGCAGUACCGGAAUAGAAAGCCACGGCUAACUACGUGCCAGCAGCCGCGGUAAUUC
rnacentral:rRNA from 1 species